rnacentral:lncRNA from 1 species
CACAAUACGGGUACGUAGAAUCUGUAUAACAGAACAACAAUUUCAACUCGAGUUCAAAUAUGAACAAGAACACAAUGAAGUAUUAAAUACCCUCAACACAAGAUCAAAAUGACCUUUCCAAGAGAUGUAUUUAUUUUUCAGAAAAUAAAGAUGAAACAGAAAUGAUUAAGGCCAAGUCAUCCUAAUUCACGGACUUUCCUUAAGGAAUAAUUCCC